rnacentral:rRNA from 1 species
GACGAACGCUGGCGGCGUGCUUAACACAUGCAAGUCGAACGGGAGUAUUGAAGAAGCUUGCUUUAGAGAUACUUUAGUGGCGGACGGGUGAGUAACGCGUGAGGAGCUGUCCGAUGCAGGGGGACAACAGUUGGAAACGACUGCUAAUACCCCAUAAGCCGAGAGGUAAAAGGAUUUAUCCGGCAUGGGAGGUACUCGCGUCCUAUCAGCUAGUAGGUGAGGUAACGGCUCACCUAGGCGAAGACGGGUAGCCGGCCUGAGAGGGCGAACGGCCACACUGGAACUGAGAUACGGUCCAGACUCCUACGGGAGGCAGCAGUGGGAUAUUGGCAAUGGGGGAACCCUGACCCAGCGACGCCGCGUGGGUGAAGAAAUCCUUCGGGAUGUAAAGCCCUGUUGUAUGGGAAGAGCGGAAGACGGUACCAUACGAGGAAGCCCCGGCAAACUACGUG